GCGUCGGUGGCGGAGCGGUCAAUCGCAACAGGCUGUAAACCUGUCGGACAUCGUCCUUCGUUGGUUCGAAUCCAACCCGGCGCACCU
rnacentral:tRNA from 7 species